rnacentral:rRNA from 1 species
AUACGUAGGUGGCAAGCGUUAUCCGGAAUUAUUGGGCGUAAAGAGGGAGCAGGCGGCAAGAUAAGUUUGAAGUGAAAGCGUAGGGCUCAACCCUAUACAGCUUCGAAAACUGUCUAGCUAGAGUACGAGAGAGGUGAACGGAACUCCAUGUGUAGCGGUGAAAUGCGUAGAUAUAUGGAAGAACACCAGUGGCGAAGGCGGUUCACUAGCUCGAAACUGACGCUCAGUCCCGAAAGCGUGGGUAGCAAAUAGGAUUAGAUACCCUAGUAGUCCACGCUGUAAACGAUGAGAACUAAAUAUUGCCGCGAGGCAGUGUUGAAGCUAACGCAUUAAGUUCUCCGCCUGGGGAGUACGAUCGCAAGAUUGAAACUCAAAGGAAUUGACGGGG